CUCCGGAAACUCUUCAAGGUUACUGUUUAUUAUUUCAUAACUUGCCAGGAAUACCCAUUGAUGUAGUGUUAGGUCUAAUUUACUAUUAUUGAUCAUUGGGAGGAAUAUUUUUUCUUCCUCGGUUACCUCCGUAAUGAGAGGAAACCCUCCUUGCACGUUCUUAUGUUCCGGGUCAACCACCAGGGUAGUACCAGGUGCUUCAUCCACUUUGAUUUCCCUCAUAGCGGCACUGAAAGGUGGUAAUUUUAAUUUUGCUCUUAGUCUCACGAAAGCUUUGGUCGGGGAAGAUUUGUUGGUGGUAAUGGAUUGGAUCUUUAUGAGAGUCACCUUCCCGUAUAGCGAAUGUUCAUGAUAUUUAAGUGGGUAGGUGACAUUAUUCCAGAUAAUUUUCUUGUUUCGGUGGUCAAGGGUUAGGGUUACUCUUCCCAGGGCAUUCAUGCCCAACAACAACGCUGGUUCUAAGUAAUUAUCGGGUACGAUGGCUAGGGGUACUUCUAAAGGUUGGUUGUCACCAACUAUGAUGGAGGUAGUGGUUUGCCCUAGGAUUCUGAGUUUCUUCCCUGUGAUCCCUUGUAAUUGCGGGAUGGUUUUUCCUGUAACCACCUUGAGAUUGAGUUGUUGCACCACUCUUUGAUUAGUGACAUUUCGCUACCAGUAUCGAGCAGGGCCUCUAGCAUAUGGCUUUUGAUGUUGACUGUGAUUAUUGGGGACCAGCUUGCGCCAGUCACCGUAUCUGAAAGGUCUUCCUCCCUGGACAACCAGGGUACUCUUCGGCAGUUCAUCCUCAAACAAUCAAAACACGAACCGGAUUCUUAAAACAUGACUGCACGUAGUGUGUUGUGGACCUACAAUACGGGCAGUACACGUAUGUCCUUCUCUCUCGAGGUGGUUUCUUUUGCUCUUCCCACCGCUCUAGUCUGCGCUCGAUUCGAUCGAGAUAGGAGGCUAAGGCGGUAGGCUCGGCCAAGGAUUCAGCCUGCGGGGAUGUUAAUGGUGAUGCUCCAGUGACUGAUGCACCAGCUGAAGGAGCGUAGUCCUUCACCAUAAAGACAAGUCUUUUUCCUUGCUAGGGCUACUAGUAGUUCUAGUUUUUCCAGGAAGGUGUCAAGGGGAAAGUUAUUGUCUGUAUAUAAUUCUAGCCUUUCCCUGCUGUCCCGAGGCAUUCCCUUUAGCAGCUUUGACUUAAUUACUUUUUCUCUUGGGGACUUCCAGGAGGGCGAAUUUACAUUCAAGUUGGGUGACAAAUUCAGUAGAGUCUUCCUCAUAUGAAUAUUUGAGGUCAAUUAAGGCGUCGAAUACUUUAACUUUACUGAUCUGUUAGUUCCCGGAUCGGUGAUUUCUUGAACUCUUCCCACUCCACCACGGGGCCAUGCUUCAGAGUGCUUUGAAUGUAAACUGCUAAUUCGGCGUCUACUCGACUCAAAGCUAUUCUUUUUCGAUCUUACCCCCGUGGGGUAUAUUGUUUUAUCUGGGAAAGGAAUACCUCAAAUCUACCUCCUACUCCCUUCAAGUGUCUUCUUUCAAGGAUGGGCAUGUCCCUUGGUUCGAGUAGUGGUUUAGUGACCGUGUCUUCUUGGCCUCUACGUAAUCGGUCCACUAAUUCUAACAUUGAGGUUUUGAGAAAAUCUAACUCUUCCUCGAGUUCUUCCAUUUUCACUGUCACCCGCUUGUGGCCCUUUGACUGUUUGUGCCCUAGGGUCUUCCUGGUCAGUGUCAGUACGCUGUUGGUCUGGGCAGUGUUCACUUUCCCAUGGGCCCAGCAUGUCUGCUAUCUCUUCCUUUACAGUUUUCUCCAUUGUAGUUUUCUCCAUUGUGUCAAAGUUCCAUAAGCAAACUAAAUAUAUAAAACCCAUGAACGUGAUAAUUACCGCGCCAUUGCAGACUACCACUUUCCAUUACUCUGCGAGAGACUAACCACGCGCACGCUCCUUCCACCUCCUCCCUUUCCACCUCAUACUGCCUGAAUACAGUCAUCCUCAAAGAAAUUCCCGGCUUUGGCUCCUGGUGCACGAAAAAUAUCUAUUCGAAUUUCUUUUUCCGAUACCUCCAAUUCCCUUGGAAUAUGACUAUGCCCUACAAGUGCUACUC